rnacentral:rRNA from 1 species
AUUGAACGCUGGCGGCAUGCCUUACACUUGCAAGUCGAACGGCAGCGGACCUUCGGGUGCCGGCGAGUGGCGAACGGGUGAGUAAUGCAUCGGAACGUACCUUUCAGUGGGGGAUAACGUAGCGAAAGUUACGCUAAUACCGCAUAUUCUGUGAGCAGGAAAGCAGGGGAUCGCAAGACCUUGCGCUGAUUGAGCGGCCGAUGUCAGAUUAGCUAGUUGGUGAGGUAAAGGCUCACCAAGGCGACGAUCUGUAGCGGGUCUGAGAGGAUGAUCCGCCACACUGGAACUGAGACCCGGUCCAGACUCCUACGGGAGGCAGCAGUGGGGAAUUUUGGACAAUGGGGGCAACCCUGAUCCAGCCAUGCCGCGUGAGUGAAGAAGGCCUUCGGGUUGUAAAGCUCUUUCGGCCGGGAAGAAAUCGCACGGGCUAAUACCCUGUGUGGAUGACGGUACCGGAAUAAGAAGCACCGGCUAACUACGUGCCAGCCGCCGCCGUAACAC